AGCGUUCGAUAUUAUCUAAUCCGAAAACCUUGAAGUAUUUUAUUCAGGUCUUUUCCCCGACAAUUACCUCUUUUACAUGAUAGUAAGGAAGUCUCACCACCACAUCUCUUACUAACUCCGACGCUAAAUUUCCAGGCUAAUAAACCGGAUGGGCUCUGUCCAAUAGUAGAUCAGACUCUGCCACAAAAGGUAGCACUGCCAUGAAUAUUUCCUUUAUCAAACAGGCAAUGCGUCCUGAGUGACCGAAUCCGUAACUCCUUGAAUGCAGAUAUUGUUCCUAGUUUCUAGAGCAUCUGUCCUUGAACCCAACUCACGCAGGUCUCUGUGAAUAUUUUCUGUCAUUAAGCUGAAGUCUGCCCUCAUGGUAGAACGCAGGGACUGCAACAUCUUAGUGAGUUUUAUUUCGGAGACAGACAUCUCUCCUAUCACUAACAGGCUAUCCCCUUCCAAGCAUUUGAAAGGUGAGUAGGUUACAUCUCCCAUCUGCCAUCGUAGUAAGGCCGUGGGGUCUCCAUUCUGCAAGGUUGUUAAAU